ACUUCGUUGAGCUUCAAAGCAUUCCCGCUCCCUUUGCAAUCCAAUCCCGGAACUACGGCUCAAAGGAUCGUGCAGUGGAUGUGUCGGGUUCGAAAGUCUAUCCUCCUCCUCCUGCCGUUGGAAUUGUGUGUUCGUCUCUGCCUGUUCAAAGAGCGACAAUCAAUGGUCUUAAAGUAAAGGAGCACCUAUCUGCCUGACUUGAAAACAAUCCACGCUCCCUCCGAUGAAUGAUUGUUUGUUCUUGCUUGUUGCUUGAUUACCGGAGGACCAACGCUGGAAGGCGUUGUCACUGCGACUUGGUGCCUACUAUGCUCUUCACGGAAAGGAGUGAAACGAGCAAGGAGAGAGUCAACCUUAAUGUCAGUGAUAAUAGUAAAGUAAAGGAAGAGACAGAAUCUCAUCUGCUUGGCUGGUCGACACAAGCAAUGCCCAAAGAGCAUUCUUUUCUAUUUUCAUGCUUCAUAAGUACUGUAUCCGCUGGAUUGAAACAGCCUCUUUUUUUUGUGCCUGACCUAAUCCUCUAGCUCUUUACUUGCCAGGGGAAGGAAAGCAAUUCCAACAACUGAAACUAGCUCGUCAAGUAUAGGAUAGGAUGCAGGGGCUGAAAGGGAAAGACCACUUGAUGCAAGUAUCGAAAUCGAACUAGGAAAUCAUUUAUGGAGAAUAAAGCAUCUUAUGGUAAAAAAGCUUUUUAUAGGCAUCCUUCUUAUAUAAGGCAAAGCAUGAAUCAAUUAUGUCAGCCCUCCUUGGCCUUCACUUACAGGAUUUCCUCUUCAUUACCAUGCUAAAGUACCGAGAAAGACUUUCCGCUCACUUCCUUUCAUUUGUGAUUUCCUUUACCGACACAUGCUCAAUAUUGGGUAGCGCUUCUUAUCUGGGAAUCCAUUCACACUUCAAGCUUAAACUAAUAAAGAAAUGGCACGGCUGAAUGCUAGAAUCUUAGUCGAUGGAAGUUAGAUUCACUAAUUCACUAAAUUAAUAUUCGUUCAAUUUCAAUCAUAACUGUAAAACUCUUUGUUCUCAUAACAAAGAGCUAGAGCUAGUAUAGGGGCUAGUCACUUUCACUAGAUAUGGUCUUGCUCUCAGCCCUUUUCCUAGAGAUCUGGGAUGGAGUGUCGAACUCAGAUACAUAUACAGAGGGGAUUGAUUCAAAGUGUCUAGGUACCAAGAGUCAAUGAAGAGAGGGGCUGGGGGCCCUGCUGUGGUAGAACCUGGUAUGUCCUGGAUGCCCUACCAGGGAAUCCUGGUGAACCGGGCGUACUACUUUCCAAUCUGCAAGCACCCUUGCUUCUCUUAUGAAAUUGAUAGUUAGAGGCGUGAUCUAUUAUAUUAUAUUUAUAUAUACGAUGAUAGCACCAAAAGGGCGGAGACUUUGACAAUGGAUAGUUGACCAUUGCCGGUUAUUCUAGCAAGAGCGUCUGUGGCUAAAAGACUUGCAGCCGAUUCAUCUAUUAGUUAUUCUCUGGCAGAACAUUCUCUUUAAGCCCUAAUACUGAUCCUAUUGCCUUUACUCCUACUGCCCUACCACCAAGACCGGUAAGACCAACAACAGCGGAUUCCAUAGCAUCAGCGAGAGAGAGAAUUCCUAUUGAGUUAGCUUUCCUGGGGAAGAGGAUAUUCUAUAAAGGCUAUACCACGACCACCAAAGCCAGAAGAGAAGACAUCAUUCUCGAAAAGGUCGAAGGACGAAGAAGAGCUCCAAGCAAGAGAUAUUAUUCACUAAAAGCAGCUACCGGGUGAGAAUAAACAACUACCAUUUAAGCUGACAGCUACACGGAUUCACCACUACUUAUGACUUCUUACUCCUGCUCCUAGACAAACUAAGAAGCAAGGAAAGAGGAACUUUAUAUAUAAGAUAUAAGAUCUUUUAUCCGCUACAACUCGAACUCCUAACUCAGGAACUACCCAGCUACCUUAAAGGAAUAAAAACCUGAACCAUUGGCAAGGGGCAAUCACUCAUGACCAACUGCCUUGACGCGGAUACUCCAACAGUUAGUGUUUGGUUUCCGAGACCGAAGUACUGAUACAAAGAAGCUCAUUCAGGAGCGCUGUUCUGUAUUACUUUCUUUCCUUUUUUUUUUUUACUUUCCUUUGCUUUUGCGAGACUGUAAUGGACUUUGAUCUUCCCCAAUCAGUGAUGUUGGCAGACCUAAAGGAACCAGGUUUCGCCCUUGUGAGAUGCGACCUUACCCGCUACUCCUUUCCAAAGUACGGAAUUGUUGACUUGCAAGAUCGAGAACAUCGAAGAAAAAUUCUAUAUAUAUAGUAUUGCUCUUUUUUCUUUCUGUCUUUCUUCUCCUGUUGCUUCUUACUAUACUGGAAUCCCUAAUAGGCUGUUAGCAAUAAGAAGAAUAGGCUGCCUCCGCUCCAGCUUGCUCUACCACCUAUGCAAUCACAGCUCAGUCAUUGACUGGCGAACUAAAAUGGAUAGCUGCUGGGAGAAUUGCGACUGAUGAAUCGCGAUCAACCGCUGAUUCCCUUGCCGUUAGAUCCGUGCCUCAAGACUCUGCUACUGGGACUCGGUCGGAAGAAUCUACUGCAGCCAUAUCUACCCACCUUUAUGAAUUCUAACCUCAACCAGCCAUGACAAGGCUGAAUUUAUUAGAACCCGUUGUUGUUUAGAAAGACCGGGAGCUGGGAAAGACGCUCACUCAUACUAACAGAAGGCAUUUUUAAAGAUAGCGGACAAGCAGAAGAACAAAUACACUGGUUGGUAGCGCUAACGACCUCCAUAGCAUAAGGGGGGGGGGGAAGUUUCUUCUGAUCAAUCAAGUGCCCUUCCCAGGGAGGGGAGAAUAACUAGUAUGGGUUCUGUUUCUUUCAUUGAAAAAUAAAUGUUUUGGAAUAAUAUAGUGUUUAAGCUACGUUUACUACAAAUGGGCUGAGCCCGGAUCUCAUUAGCUUGGCCCCAACCGGAGGGACUAGAAGGGGGAAAUAGCCAGGCGCCAGAGAACCAAGCUCGCUCUCACUACUUAUGGAUAGACGUGGGUAGGAUAAUAAUAAUAGGCUGGCCUCCCGUUGAAGAAAAAACACUCUCGACGAGCCUUGACCGGGCGGGGUAGGCAGAAGUUGAUCCGGUAGAUCGACUAGCAGUUUCAGCUACUGCUCGUGAUAAUGAUUUUUAUUAGCGAGAUGUUGACUCUUACUUUGAUUAUGCAAUAGAUUUUGCUUAUUCUCUUCUCACAACGUGCCUAGCUAUUAUGUUCUGACUCAUGCAUUUGCCGGUAAAGCACGUCCAACGUCCAAAGUGAUGCGCGCUUCCAUAGAAAAGAAAGAAGGAGAAGGACGCCCGCCUUCAACUCAUCAUAUGGCUAUGCUUAUGCGCGAGAACUUGUGUACAUACAAUCAUGAAAGAGCAUUUCGAGAUGGAAGCAAAUACUUACAAUGAAAUCACAGACUCAGUAACCGGGGAAGCUCUCAAGGCAAGGUAGAAGGUAGCCCAACUUCUUUCGCACUGCUUUCACAGCCCAAGAGAGAGCUCAGCGAGGCGUAUCAUCUAAAGUAGGACUUUCAUGCUAAUUUGAAUAUUCCGUGGACAAGGCCUCUGUCUAAGCAGGAAAAUCUAUAGCCCUUUGUUUGCUUCUUGGCUUGCUCUGCUCUUCGAGCUCUUCCUUCGAGCCGUGUUCUCUCUGCGCGCUUCCAGGGCCAAGGGCCACCCAUCCAUUCCAAGUUUAGGAACCUAUUUAUAUAAUAUAAUGGAAAACCCGCGCGAACGUGGUCUCAUAGGAUAGGUCAGGAUCAGUUGCUUAUGUUUCGACCUCAGAUUCGACUACACCGGAUACGGGAAAACUGGAACUCUUGUUUCGGCCUCGACUUAAGGUAAGGUAAGGGUCGACGAAGUUGACUUCAGCCGGUUCAGAUUGAGAGGGAAAGCGCAGCCCUAGGCUCCGCUUCUGAGGAUGAUGCCUGUGCUAUGUAUGAUCCAUCGGAUUCUUCUUAUUCUCAGUGCGGUGCGUUUUUCAGCGAAUGAAAGUCAUCAGAUUUUUAUUUUUGUGCUUUUGAAAGAGCUGCUUCUGCGAAUGACUAAACGGAUACUACUGUCAAUCAAAAAUUUCCCAUAUCAUAUCAUGGAAGGAAAUGGGGUUGGGAACCAUCGAUUGCAACAUCUAAUUGGACUGACUGAUCCCAGGGAGCAAAAGGGGGGAUGGACUCUGAAAUACUUCUCCGAUCGGUUCCGACAGUCUUUUUUUCACCUUCUCGGCAUGAUCCAGGCGUUCAAGCUAGCAGAUCAAAUCAUGGGUUCUCAUCCGGUUGGUUGGUUGAAAUGCGGCUAUGCCGGGUGGACUAAAGUCAAGUGGGGGGUGGCGUCGUCUAACGUAUAAUAAGAGCACGCUUGCUUUUAUUGUUUCACUCUGCUUAUUAGGCUUAUUAGUUGGGGCACUGCUGCGUCUGCGUGUUCUCAUCUAAGAAAGAUGUACAGUGCUCGCGGAGCGCACUUGCGAAGGACCAACGACGAGCUAUAUAGAGGAUAAGAGAAGGAGGAGUAGGAGGAGUCAGUCUUUUUUGAAGAUCGAGGAAGAAAUCGGACAAUUAGAAUUAUGCCACUCUAUUUUCAUUACGAAGAUGUAUUACGUCAAGAUCUGUUGCUCAAACUUAAUUACGCCAACGUUAUGGAAGUUCCUGGAUUGUGUGAAAUAAGAGUAGUACCAAAGAAACCCUAUGAUUUCAUAAUCAAAAAUGGAAAAUUGGCUAUGGAGAUUUCGUGCGGUCAGAAAUUCAUAGAGACACAAAGGGGUUUGACAGGAAAGUCGUUUCGAUCCAAUCAAUUCUUGGGGUCUUUUAAAGACAAAGGAUAUGUUAGUGACCUAGCACGACAAAGCACUCUCCGAGGGCAUGGAAUGUCUAAUUUUUUGGUCAGAAUCUUGACAGUAAUGUCUCUGUUAGAUUCUCCGGUCGAAAUACGGGAAAACUCCAUUCAAUUCUCGAUGGAAACGGAGUUUUGCGAAUUCUCCCCAGAACUGGAAGAUCAUUUCGAGAUCUUCGAACAUAUUCGAGGGUUCAAUGUGACUAUUGUCACUUCGGCCAAGACACAAGAUGAGACUUUACUACUGUGGAGCGGCUUUUUGCAAAAAGAUGAGGGGGAAACUCAGUAAGAUGUCGGAGAAGCAAAAUAUACGAGAUCACAAACGUAGAUUGCUCGCGGCUAAAUAUGAAUUGAGACGAAAGCUUUAUAAAGCCUUUUCUUUUAUAAAGAUCCCGAUCUUCCUAGUGAGAUGCGGGACAAACAUCGUUAUAAGUUGUCCAAGUUGCCAAGAAAAAGUGCCUUUGCACGAGUAAGAAACCGAUGUAUUUUCACGGGUCGCCCUCGUUCCGUAUAUGAGUUCUUUCGAAUUUCUCGUAUCGUUUUUCGGCAUCUCGAGGUCUUUUGAUGGGCAUAAAGAAAUUGUCUUGGUAGCUACCCCAAUAGAACAGAACAAGGGUUAGCUCUGCAGCUGGUCCACAAGCAAGGUAAGAAGGUCCAUUACCGGCCGGCUCCGGACCGAAAAGACCUAACGGAGUAAUCCCUUAUCUCGGAUCAGAGAUGCUAACGGGGCGGGAAUCGAAGUGGGGACCUCUCUACCGCGCCUGUGUCUAUCUCCUGUCAAGUAUGUUCCCCAGACAUAGACUAGGAAGUACUCUUGGAAAGAUAGAAUAUCACCGCGUGAACAUAACAUUAAGUUACGAAUGUAACCCCCGAGGUAUCGACCACUAUUCUAAAUAGAGUGAGGCGGAGAACUGUUGUUCAUUGGAGCGACGGAGUGCGGAGGUUGUUCCCAUCAUUGAAGUCAGAGUGUGGGACUGCGCCUUCUGAAUGAUAAAGACAACUUAGUUUCGUUGGAAAAACCAACGCAAAUAUCAUAACAUAAUAAGAGUCAGUCUCCCUUUUUUUGGGGGAACGGAAUAUUUUUCUACGGUACCAUCUAUGAAUCUAAAUGAUAAUGAUCUUGUGCUCUAUGGGAAUCCUACGCCCAGUGAUUUACAAUUUCUCCAUGAUAACCCUUUUUCGUUCCCUUCCACAACUAGCUCUUUCUCUUCAACUCUUUCCUCAACUAGGUCGAACGCGGAAAGCGCUCCACCUGAGUUAGACCGAUUAUUUAAUUCAAUCUGUGAAAAAUACACAGAGUUGGUUCAACUGUCAAAUAUCCAAUUACCGCAGGAGUGGAGCAUACCAGAUCUUAUUCGCGCUAUCAUGGGAAACGAAUCUGUUAUAAUCCCAGGGUAUCUCGAAAGUACCUAUUAUGAUCUUUUUUUACGGGGAAACAAUAGUUGGUUAUUCGAGGAUCUUAGGGACUUUAUCAAUUUAAUCAAUUACGCCCCCCCAGUAUGAAGUGGCUGAGAUGGGUGGAAGGAUAUAGUCUUCACCGCUUUCUUUCCUUACUUAACUCUAAUAACGGAGGGCCCACGUUAAACGGAUUGGGCUCACAGAAUACUUCAGGGCUGGAGUGAAGAGCCACAAAAGCACCUGUCAGGAACUGUAUAAAAAGGACCGAGAACUACAUACGUCUGAGACUCACUUCCUUGAAAAGAGGGAGACGAGUUAUGUAGGCUGUGGCCGUUCAAGAAAUGUAACGGUUGCUCGACCAAAGCCGGUCAAAGAAUCGAUUAUAUGCCUUAUAUUGCCAGAAGACCGAUGAGACUUACCAGAAGUGAAGUACAGAAGAGCAGGAAAUUUCAUAUUUUGAAUCAAAAACUUAAGAUGUUCAUCUCCAAGCCUAGCCUACUCUACAUUAUCAUAUGGUUUCGCGGGCACGUCCAACCGUACCUUGCCACUUGCCAGUUCAAAGUCUAAAAGAAAAGCCGGUCAAUAAGACAGAUCCGGAUCCUAGUGCUUUCGAGAUGGUUCGAUCGCUAACAAAGACAAGCAUGGGAAACAGCAGACUCCCAACAAGCAAACAAGCAACUCCAAGAGCUCAAGCCUAAAGCCUUAGUAAGGCGCAUCCUCAUUGCUCGCGUAAAGCAAGCGUAGGCUCGAAGGCCGAAGCGCGCUAGUGCUCGUUGCAUUUCCCUCCUACUCGGGUAAAGUAUUCCGCUCGUUUGCUGUAAGGAAUUCAGUAGAGUGGCCGGUCGUUGAAAGAAGCAAGCCUAGAGCCUUAGAAGGUGCGAAGUAAAUCCCAGAAAAGUAUCAGGAAAGAAAGAUGCGCCAUUCUUAGUUAGGGAGAGGGUAUGUUCACAUUGAGUAUCCUCGUAUGCUCAGUCGAGUGACAAACGUACCUAUCCCCGACGUGGGUAACGCAUCUACAAAACCAUGGUGUUAACAAGGCCCUCCCUUCUCCUAAAUCCCAUUUUUUAUUUACUUAAAAUAACCGUUGUUCACUGGAAUUUAUUCCAAGAAAGUUUGGAUCCCUCCGCUCCUUGCCCGUUCGUUUCACUUACUUCCGCUCCUCUCAUCGAGAAAGCAAUUAUACAUCCUGACUAAGGAGCACAGGCAAUAGGUUCGUAGGAAGAGGCAAGCGUUCACACAUCCGUCUAUAUCAUAUGUGUUGGGUGAAGAGCUAAGACUAUGCCUGGGCCGGGGUCAGGAAGACAGGCAGAAGGAGUAAGCAGCUUAAGCAAGAGACCUUUUCUUAUCUUAUAUAGUAUAGGCAAUUUAAUUUAUCUUAUCGGAAGUAAGUUCGCUAGCUGUCCAAGGGGCAAAGAGUAGUAUUCCGGUCUCUCUUGAAAGCAAUCAAGCGUGAGAAGCAGGAUCCGUCCACAGCUUUUAUUUUAGCCCUUUCCCUUAAUCAGUUCCUCCUUCUCUCCCUCUCCGGAUUCUCGUAUAAAGAAGCAAUUACCUAAAUAGGAGCUCCCCGGAAAAUUAAGAUCCCAAUAGCCGGUUCUCUUUACGUCGUAGAAAUAUUAUAAGAAUAUUCUGGAUUGUAAAGAGAGGGAUACGAAAUAUUCUAUCCAGGGUAAGGCAACGGGAGCUCCACACAUUUUCUAUAUUAUACAAAUCUUAUUUCAGAAUAGAACACACUGAAGGAAUUCCUAUCAGAAUUGUAGUCACCCUACGUAAAAUCAUUGUUUUUUUGUUAUUCGUGGAGGGGUUCACGGAAGAAUAAGAAUAGAAUUGGGUUCGAUUCCCAUUGCCCCUUUGUGGUGAAAAAGACUGAUUCAACGAGAUAUGCCAUGUCUGCAUUAAGAUUUAAAACUUGUCGUCUACUUUCAGGAAAUGUUCGGAAGAGAGAACUUACAAUAAUACAACGCCGCAUUCUCCGAAGAUUGAGGAAGAAAAUGAGAUCUAUUAAGAGAAAGAUUUAUCCGAGAGAAAAUCUUAACAGUUACAUCCAAUCACAAACUACACGAAAGUUGCCCCUUUUUCAUGGGGAUUUACCCAUCACAGAGAUGCACAGAGGAACAGAACAAACUUCAUAUAUCCCUUUUCUACUCAAUCCAGAAACAAGAUUGGACGUUAUUCUGGUUCGUCUCCAUUUUUGUGAAACUAUUCCUCAAGCAAGGCAGCCGAUAAGUCAUCGAAGGGUUUGUGUGAAUAAUGGAGUGGUAAGCAUUACUCAUUUGAGACUUUCCCACGGUGAUAUAAUAUCUUUUCAAGAAAAUGACCCGAGAAUCCGCGGUGAAGAAAUAAGGAGAUCUUUCUAUAUCGAAAUAUCAGUUGAAAAAAUAAUAGGAAAAUUCCUGGAUCACCCGGUAAGAAUGUGGAGAAGAACCAAAACAGAAUGGUUCCACCUACUCAAAACUAAGAGGGGAUGCCGCCUACUACUAAAAUCCCGGUUUUUGCAACAGUUGCGUUCUUCUAUGCAAGAAGAAGACUUUGAAAGAACAAAGAAGUUUGGAUCCGAAAAAGUAUGCUUAGGCAGUUCCUUCGCUGAGCACAACAGAAUGAAGAGGAAUUUAUAUCAUUUCAAAUCCCUAUUCUUAUCGAAGAGAAGGAACGAGAAAAACCGAAAUUUUCCUACUCGAACAAGAAGUCCUAUAGUUUACAACUCUUCUUUAUAUAGUAAUUCGACCUAUUGCUCCGCAUCCCCCCAUCAGUUUACUAUGAAGAGAAGAAUCAAAAGGAUUGAACUACCUACUCAUUAUUCGGAGGUGAAUCAUAGAACACCAAAAGCUGUGGUAUCUUAUGGACCUAACAUAGGUCACAUCCCUCACGACAUAAGAUUGAAAGAUCCAAACCUUCCUCUUCGGAGCGGAAACGGACGUGGCCAAAACAUAUAAAGAUCGACGUAGUCGCUCAUAGGGACAUAUCUAUCCGGAUAGAGGAUAGUCUAGAUCGAUUCAUAGAUAGAUUUCUAUCCAUAUAGAUAGGUAUCUCCGUGAAUAGAGAUAAAGAUAGGGAUCCAUCUAGAUCUUGAUUCACUAUUUCCAUUUUUUUUUUUUAGAUUUUUAUUGUUUUUGAUGACAAGUUUUAAAUCUUAAUGCAGGCAAGGUCGCUUGCGCGCUUGAAACAUCGUUUUUCAAUUAUUACUUGCUGGGUCGGGGCGUAGACGAGCGAGCAGAGCCCAGGAAAGAGGGAAGGGAAGCCCGUCAUAGAAUAGAGCAGUCGACUAGAAGUAGAAGACUGCUGGCCUGAGAGAAGGCGGCCUCUCUCGGGAAAGAUGGCCCAAUUUCUCUUCUUUCUUUUUUUUUUUUUUUUUUUCAGGGGCCCAAACGCUAAAAGGUGGGGGAGAAGCAAGCCGAACCUCUGAUCGACCUAGACAUAUAAAAAAUUCUCGGCGUCGAGAGAGAUUUGAGAUUCCGUAAGUAACUCAGUGAGUGCUCUAAGAAGGGCUUGGAAAAAGAAAAUGAAAUACGAACAACCGCGCUGGUCGUAAUAGAUCGACUUUCAUGCUGGAACAAGAACUAGCAUGAAAGUUCCAUUUCAGGGAAGGACGACGUACCAUGAUACUUUCUGUUUUGUCGAGCCUUGCUUUGGUCUCUGGUUUGAUGGUUGUACGUGCUAAAAAUCCGGUACAUUCCGUUUUGUUUUUCAUCCCAGUCUUUUGCGACACUUCAGGUUUACUUCUUUUGUUAGGUCUCGACUUUUUCGCUAUGAUCUUCCCAGUAGUUUAUAUAGGAGCUAUAGCCGUUUUAUUCCUAUUCGUUGUUAUGAUGUUCCAUAUUCAAAUAGCGGAGAUUCACGAAGAAGUAUUGCGCUAUUUACCAGUGAGUGGUAUUAUUGGACUGAUCUUUUGGUGGGAAAUGUUCUUCAUUUUAGAUAAUGAAACCAUUCCAUUACUACCAACCCAAAGAAAUACAACCUAUCUGAGAUAUACGGUUUAUGCCGAAAAGGUACGAAGUUGGACUAAUUUGGAAACAUUGGGCAAUUUACUUUAUACCUACUAUUCCGUCUGGUUUUUGGUUUCUAGUCUUAUUUUAUUAGUAGCCAUGAUUGGGGCUAUAGUACUGACUAUGCAUAGGACUACUAAGGUGAAAAGACAGGAUGUAUUCCGACGAAAUGCUAUUGAUUUUAGGAGGACUAUAAUGAGGAGGACGACAGACCCACUCACGAUCUACUAAAAGGGAAGUAGCUUGAUAUUGGUUCAAAUCCAAUUCGUGAGAAGAAGCGUCAAAUGAUUUGGACAGUUGUCGCGCUGGCGGAGCAGGGAGCCUACAGGGAAGAUUGGGGCAAUGAGGAGCUCGACGAGUAUCUGCAGACCCUCUACCCCAUCGACUACAUCUAUCGCUGAACCUUCUUCCGAACUUGCCAACAAGUGCUUAUGAAAGCGGGACUUCAACCUUGCAAUCCGUUGGAGGUGGACUUGAGACCAACGACGGAUUAGAACCUUUCUAGUCCUCUUUAUACUCUUUAACCCAAGCUGUAUACUUUACUGCUGUGCUGUUUAGUGGAAAACCUCUCCUAGUGGAUUUGAAUUUUAAUUCGAUUAAUCGAUUGAUGAGACGAAAUUGACUGCUCUUGAACGAAGGACGAAGGACUCCCCCCGUACCCGUUUCAACUUCACUAGGGACCUCAGCCUCAACUUCCUCCCUCACUUCAGUGGCUUCGAGUUUCUCUCCCUCUCGGUCAAGCUACUUUGUUCCUCAAAUCUGUCUAGGGGAAAGCGUGAGUUAAGCGCCUUUCAUGGGUCCGUCAUGAGGGAUGUUGACCUAGCGUUAAGCGUACCUAGAACGGCCUUCCAGAAGAAAGGAAGAGGAGAGGAAUCCCUAAGCUUCUGCUUUUGAAAUGGAGUCCGCAACUCCUGAACCCGUGGAAGCACCACCAGAGGAACCAAAACCCUCAGCUAAGGAAUGGGGUUUUUCGGCAAGCUGACAAAUAGAUUUAUGUACCUCAGAUUCAGUGGGAUCAGGCGCUUCUGCUUCGAUGAAUGGUCUUUCUCGAGUGGAGAUUCCUACGAAUGGGAUCUCCUCCUAAAGGUUGGCGAGAUGGGGCCGCAUCGAAAUGGCUCGUUCAGACAGAGAUGUAUGUGUCAAAGUAUACCAGCAAGGGUAGGGAACCAGAGUUCCAUUACUAGUAUGAAUAACCGGCUGGAGUAACUCGUACUGGACAUCUGGGAAAGGAUUGAUCUUACUGCUCAUGGAUAGGGAAAGAAUACUAAAAAAAUGACUCUACAAGAACGACCUAUCCCAGGGCUUUGGCCCAUCCCAGCUCCGCCCAGAAUGGCAAUUCCGGGCGUUUUAUGACCAGUCUCCAACUGUUUUUGAACCGGGCCCCGAUGAAACACUUCGUUUUUAAGCUUCAAAAGAAUGCCCGUAGCGGCGAUGCGUUUGCUUCUGAUUGCUCGAGUUGGAAGACCUACAAGGAGCUCGGUUGUACUAAAAAUAAAGAAGAAUCGACCUGUGUCAAUGGAUUCCAAAUCUUUCGUCUCCCGCGGGCCUGCAGCUGCCCUUAAUGCCUCAAUCCUCGUUCUCAACUUCGUCGAGCCUUGUUAGGGAUAUGGCUUUCUAGCCUCUCUAGUGGUCAAAUAGUGACUCGCACUCUUUCCUAUUUCCGGAUUCAAAGCAGCGAGCACCGAAGGAAAGUAGAACUGAACACCAACUGAAAAAAGAAAAUAAGCAAAAAAGAGGAUGCAAACCGCUUUUUUGCAUUUUGCAAUAAGUAAGUUGCUCACCAUCUUCAGUAAGUCAGUUAACAGACUUGAGCAAGUCUUCCUUGGACGAGUUCCUUCAGUUAGAUAGGUGAAGUUAUAUAGGCUAGCGAGCCACAUGAGCCUAGAAGUUGAGUUAGUCUCGUCAACAAUUCCUUGAGUCUCGAACCCAGCUAAUAGCUUGAGCCUAGAAACUCGAGAAAGGCUAACCAAUAGAUAGAUAGAGGGAUAGCGGGCUGGAGUCUAACUCCAACCUAAGUAAAGAUCUGCUCUGAGCUCAGAAGUGGAGGGAGUAGUCUUUUUUUCCGAAUAGCUGUCUUUGUCUUUAUUCCUUGAGCCUAGAAAUAGAAAGCAGCCACUAGAUAGGAUAGUGAGCCUCAUACUGGUCCUAAGGAGUGCCCUUAUUUUAUUCCUUCUCCUCUGCUCUUCGAGCUUCAAUAGAAGACCAGGAGACCAACCUUUAUCUUCGUCCUCGAUUCCUUGUUGGUGCUUGAUUCUCGAGGCUGGGAAGACAGAAGAAGAGGUAAUAUGUAAUAUUCUCUACAGAGUGGGGUGGGAAAUGUUCUCGCCACAGAAGCCAAGUGGUUCACGGCUAAACAGGUACGGAAGGAGUUCUUUCAGUAAGUAAAAGUCGUGUCGUGUUGGGCUGCGAGAAAGGGGAGGUUCGGAGCGGAGGAUCUACCGCGUCCAGUCUAUUCCGAAGGUGCAAGGCAGGUUCCCGAUCAACAAGAGGUGGCAGUCCCCUCGCCCGAUAGAGAUUUCAACUACAUUGAGCCCCGGAUUGGGGGAGAGUUUCUAGUUUCCCGACAGGUCGAUGUACAACCGACAGGUGAAUGCUUUACCAAACUCGUGUACAACUCCUUUCAUGUGUAUUGAUUUCCGCUUAUUACAUGCUUGGUUUCCUAAACGAUUUCUCCACAGCACCCCCUGACCAAACAAAAAACCAGAAAGCCAAGAUCUAUAUAAAUAUAAAGCGAGGGAAAGAGUACAGAUGUGCAGCAGAGAAGGAAGAAAGACGAAUGCUAUGAGAGCUUGGACAGAAUAAGGUCUAGGGGAGACCGCCCAUUUAUCACAUGUGAGGGGAAGACUAGUAAAAGAUUCGAGCUGUAAACUCGCAAUAUAGACAGAAAAAAAAUAUUGAUACCAACCCAACAAACAAGGUACUAUGCCUUUCUCUUACAGCUAAGGCAUGGUACCUAAAAUCGGUAGUUUCACUCAAACUAGUACUUUUACUCGGCUUUGUCUGUAGAAACUUGGCUUACGUGAUAGGGGCCCAGAAAGGGCAUUUUAUAAUACAAAAAGAGCAGGUUACACCAACGUACAGUGCUCGAUCAACUAGAUUUACUGCUCGAACUGAGCAGAAAGCGCUCUUAACUACAUGACUCUGCAAUAAGAUUUCAACCUCACGGACAAGGGGCCUUCACCCGAAAGUCCCUGCGCUGUUAACCCACGAAUAAAUGAAAUGCCGAUAUCGCUCCCUUCAUGAAAAGCACUUUAGAGCCCCGGUGCUAAAAAAGGUGCUAAUUCAGUCUGAUCAGUGAUAGAGCGCAAAUGACCCUCUUUGGGGUGGGGUAUAAGCAUGCAGGCGACUCACGUGUAAAUAUAGGUCCUGUCUUUAUUUCCAUUAUUUCAUUUCUACGAUUUAAGCUGGCUGAACAGAAGAUAGAAGAUUACGAUUUAGAGUCUAAGGGAGUUUCGCCAUUUGAGUGAGUUCGGUUCCUCUAGGUAGGGCCGAAGCAAGGAUGAUCCUAUCGACCCAUUCCAACUUGAAGCUCUCUCCUGUCAUGCCGGAGUAUGGGGCUUAAACAGUAACUAUCAUUUUAAGAUAGAAACAAGGGAUUUUCAUUGAGAAUAUCGAGACUAGAGGACUUCGCGAAGUGAAGAACUACUGAACCUGAACCAGAACCAGAAUGGCGUAGUGUAAGUUAGUAAUGUAAUUGAGUGCCGAUCGCUUUCAAGCAAAAUCGUAAACAAAGGGAGAAAGUGAUCCUAGUUUCAAAAGGAAAUAGCAGCUCGUACAUUACCCUAGAGAGAUUGAAACCUGGCGAACCCGAAGAUGACGAAUCCGAAGAGCCGGAGAGGAGGUCUGUUUCAAAUAGCAACAGAAAGACGUAAAAUGCCUGCUAAUGGGAGCGACCCGGUCCAGAUUAUGAAGCUGAUCCAGCCAGGCUUGGAAGAAAUGCAAUAUAGAAAGACUCACACGAAUGGGGCUUCGGUCGAUAGUCUUUCUCUUCUGUUUCGCCUUGGAAUGCCUAUUUACAAGAGGUUGAGUCCUGGGUACCACUUUGAGGAAGGUUAUUUAUGUUUACAACAUUCUUUUCUUCUCUGCUCUAACCUUGAGCCGGAGGCGAGGACCAUUGAGUGGAUAUUCCAUAUCUGCCUGAACGACUGACCCUAGCACCACAGCUGACCUAGAGGAGAGAAGCAGAUAUCAGCCUACCCACAAUCUUCAUCUGGACUGGAUGGGCUUGCCAUCCUGAAAGAAAAGAGCUCAUUCCCUAAUUCACUGAACGAGACUAUUGAAAGGAAAGGAAUUGUUUCUCCGUGGGGCGGAUACAUCUUGUGUUUGAGACAUGAAGACAGAGAGUUGGAAAGAUCUAUUUCAGUAGUCAACCCCCUCUUCGAGACUACUAGCAAGGUGCGAAGCACCGGUGCUCAUUCUCGAUUAGCCGAAUGAGGAUGUCGUACAUGCUUUCUUAAGAAAAGGAAAAUAAUCGGUUGUUGUGUCGAAUCAAUGGCAUCGAAUGCAAGCUGUGACUGAACUGCCUUACUGUCCGAGGAGGGUAAAUCAAUAGGAAUAGGCAGAGAAUGCCCAAUAGGUCUUUGGCUGUUUUCUCAUCUAUAGAAUCUGCUGUGGUUGAGGAUGAAAAUAUGAAUUAGAAUCUUCCUCAAUUCCUUUUGAAUAAGGAGGGCAUGGUUGACGAGACUUUCUUCUGACUCUCACGUAGAAGAGAAGGGGUGCCUUACUGGAUGAAAGACGUAGAAGGAAUGCCUUACUGGAUUCAAUUCAAUAUACACCUUCUGUUCCCAGGUCUAGCCUUUCGCGGGUAUCGUAUCCCGCUGAUGAGUAAAUGUACAAAAAGGCUUCCGAACCUGGUUGCGUAGCUUGGUCGCCUUCGCCAACAUGUAGUAAUAGGUCUUUCUCUUUCCGGUUUUUUUCAUGUAUCAAUCAAAAAGGGUGCUUUCUAUGAAAAAAUUCAAAAUAUGAAAUUGAACUAGCACUAACAACGGGAAGAGCAAACUGCUUUGAGCUCAUAUUCAAGCGGCUACAAAACAACUGAUUUGGUAAUUGAAUCGGGUGUGGACAUAGCAAACCUCUUCAUUAGAGAGAAGCCCUUUUACCUGUUUGUAUGGAGAAAAGAAAGUUGGAAGAACUAAAUAAAGGAACGAACUCACUAGAAAGCCGAGAAACUAAACUACCAGGCAAGGAAGCUCAUGCUUAGUCCUAUUUGGAAAUCCAUUUUGUCUAAAUCUAUAGAGAAGACGAGCAGACGAUAAGAAAAAGGAUGUUGCGUCUUCUAGAUAUAUAUGAAUGACCACUUUGGUCUAAAUUCUAGAGGUUGCUCCUCCGUCGUCUACCAUACAUAAUUACUGAGCAACCUGCCUUAAUGAAAGGAGAUCCCUUCUGACUUACCUGUCCUUGCCGCUAUCUGACUGACAAAGAGAGCAAGAGCAGACGAGAAGCUACAACCAACCGAUAGAUCUUCCGUCUUGUCUUAGAGUAGGAACUCAAUUAGCCUAGCUACAUUACAGGCUUGAUCGAUAUAAUGAAUUCUAUCUUCUUUGUUCGAACCGCAAGCAGGAGCGGAGCCACAUCUAGCUCUAUGAAUCAAACUCUUCCUUAGACCAAAGAAACUUCCCUUUCGACUAGUUACCUGUAUGGAGCAAGGCCCAUCCAAGCGUGGUUUUCUAUUAGUAUUAGAAAGAAAUAGCUGGCUCCUUCUCAUGCACAAAUCUACCCGUAGCAUAGACUGGAUCGAUCACCACAUCUGCAUCUCUCUCCAGGGAAAGCUGAAACUAACUAGUAACUUAAAGUUAAAGUAAAGAAUGGAGUAGCCCAUAGUUCUCCUCGAGUAGUGAAAAACUAUAGUGAUAGUACGCCCGUAUAGCUCACUGAAGAAGAAGACCUUAUAUAAGAAGCAGUUGAAUCCGAACCAGCCCACCCACCAGCACUAGUAGCGGAUUACCCACCAGGCGCUUCAUAUCCAUAUGAAGUUUAUGCCGCAGCAGAUCGAAAUCAAGGCCUAUCUGCAUAAGGUCAAAUCAAAAAAAAGCAUCGGUUGAAAGAGGGUCAGAUCUGACCCCGGUUAGACUUAAAUAGUAAGAAAGAUGUUCAUUAUAGAAACCUCCUCUACUCAAAGCGAGCGCUAAACUAGAUUCUUAUCAAAGCAAUGGGCGGCACAGGAGGCAGAAGAAAAAGUAGAAGCAGAAGCUAUUCCUGUUCCUGACUCCUUUCCUUAAUUGAGUAUAGGUAUAGGUGGUAACUGGCCUUCACUCAAGAUGCAAUGUCUGACAUUCCCUGGUAUAGUCUAGUAUACCAGUUUAGUAUACCCUAAACUCAUUAUAGUCAUAUACUUUGAGAGCUAUACAUUCCCUUCUUGCUAGAUAUUUUAUUUUGACUGAGAGUAGUCGCGUAGACUGGACUACGGGAAAUUAUAUAGCACUUAGAUCUACCCUACCUGACCCAACCAAAUUCAUUCAUUUCCCUCGUGAAAAGGAGUAAAUCAAGAUUAAGACUGCCAAUCGAGGUACUGACUAAAUGCGUGCCAGUGGAAAGAUUGACUGUGACAGAAAUGCUCCUUCCCUUUACGACAGCAGAGAGUGAGCCGCAAGAAGUCCUGCAUACUGCCAAAGAGCUGCAUGCCGCAAAAGAAAAGACAAAUAGAAAGCUUCGAACUUUCUUGGAGACCAAGAAAUCCCUUCCCGCAGGUGCAAGUGAGGGAGGGGUAAACUCUGACUGUGACAGAAAUGCCGCUACCUCUGCUACUUGACGCUCCCAGGGCGAAUGAAUCGUUUUGCCAUAUAGACUAUCAGCUUAUUCCUUGAAUUGGGACGGGGCCCCUUUCUCCGUUGUGAGUGACUUCGCCGGCCAGAGGCCAGACUCCUUGUGUAGACGGUUGUAGACGGCUGGAUCCCUGUCUUAUGCACUCUUAUGCAUAUGCACUGGUUAGAGGAGAGAUUAGAGCCGCUUCGGCAUUAGCUUUCUGACCAGAGAGAACUACUAUGCCAGAGGCUGGUGACUGAGUAGCAUGUCAACGGGCACUGAAAGGAAAGGAGUGAUCAAAAAAAAAAUUUUCCAUACUUUAUAAGCAAGUAAACUACCAUUCUAACUUUCUAAGGAAAAUGACUGACUCUCUUCCACUCCGUCUAUGACUAUUACGAGGAUUCUUUGUGGUUCCUCCAGAGCCAAGCAGGAAGGGUAGGGCGUAGUGAUUUCUUUGUUUAUUGCAAAGAUUAUAGAAUCAAUUGUAUCAUUCUUAUCAACCGAGCGGGACUUCGUCCUUUCAGAAGCAGUCAAUUCCACUAGGUUUACUUUACUUUACUUUACUUUACAUUAUGUCAGAUUCAAUUUGAACUCAGUCAAGUCCUUCAAUCUCAGGGUUUGAAUAGGUUUUUUCUCCUAAGAGAAUAGUGAUUGCUUAUCCUCAGUCUCCAUUUGUGGAUUGUCCCAAAGCAGGAUCCCUUCCAGCUGCAUAAGUGAGUUAGCUUUCCCGUCCGUCCUCCCUCGCCUACUAUGAGCUCUGGAUCGAGAGACCAAGGGCGCUAUUCCUGGCUAAAGGCCUAACUAGAGUGAUUCCUCUGUUAUUCGCUUUUGCUAUUAGCUCUCUUCUUGGCUGGCUUUCUUCUUUGUGGAUUGCUUAAAGAGCUUAUUUUAAGUGAAAAAUACGGGGUUUCAUAGCUCGAUGUGCCUGUAUCCUACUGGUAGUUUCAUAAGGAAUUCUUAAAGCCCGGUCCUCCAUUCCAAAGGAAUGGUAUAAUUAUAAUAAGGGCUGGCCUAAAGCAAUCCUAGGAGCGAGAACACGGCCACGGCCGCUAUCUCCUGCCAAGGAAUAUAGUCAGGCCUUCCCCUGCCCUGUAUGGAAGUCAGUCCAGUCCGCCCGAGAUCGAAGGAAGUCAGCCCCCGUGGGAGAAGGGUUCCAAACCUUCCUUGUCCUAUGGAUCCCAUUUGUUGAAGUCAAUAAGAGGGAAGGUCUACCGUCAGUGAGCUCCUAGCCGACGACCGGCUAUACCCCUUUCGAGCUUAGCUGACCCUUUCUUGAUUCAGUUUUUUCCUUAUUUGAGAUAGAUGAAUCAAUGGAACUUUGAUCCCCUAUUAAUGUAAUGAUUGAACAAUCAAAGUGCGUUUGCCGCGACUACGAGCUGCCAGUGCGCCUUUCUUUGAGUCGCUACGCUCUGGGUCGAGAACUGGUUCAAAAGUAGAGUAGAGGGUGGUCCAAAACGAGCUAACGCGAGUUUUCGAACUACGCUUUUUCCCGUUUUUGAACAUCACUGAGAUAGGCUUUUCCCCGAACCAUUGACCCUUGUUCGGGAGGGAGAAGUUGAUUCAUUUAAUGGAGCUUUAUUUGUUUUGUUUGAUCUAGUAAGGGGGUGUUAGAAAUAAGCCACCGUCCGACGAAAGAGCGGUUUCCAACAGAGCGACCCGGGACAUCGAGCGAAGAGCUCCAAUGCGCGUAUUCGGAGCUACGCGGAUGCCGUAGUCGCAGAAGCCGGAUCAACAUCAUGACAACGGCAUUCUGGAAACUGUUGGGCCGGCCACAAUUGGUCUAAUGUCUGGGUGCGUAUCGCGGUACACUGAGAGCACCUUUCACUUUCAAGUCGGCUGAGAGAAAAAAGGGUUUCGUCGUCUUUUUCUCUUUACUUUUUUUUUUAAGUUUAAGGCGGUUCUUUUCUUUCUCCGGACUGAUGACUCGCUUGUUCAGUAUUGCUAACUAUUCUAGGUAUAGGAGGAUGCCGUCCCCUCGGGACUACCAGUAGUUUCGGUUGUAGAAUCUCGUGCAAGUUAGGUUGUGGUUGUAUUGGCUGCAAGCGGAACCUAGGCGCUUUAGGUGUGUGUUGACCAUGCACUCUCGCGUCAUGUAAUGUUGUAUGUAUGAUAGAGGUGGUGUGGUGAUUGACCUCAAUGCUAAAUCCCUAAGGUUCAACGAAUGAAUGAAGCUAUGAUCGUACCCGGAUAGAGAUGAUGGUCUUCCUUUGAUGUCUCCAAGCCGGCCAUAAUAGAAUAGAAUAGAUAGGCGAAGCAGCCAAUAGCAGUCUGUUUUCGCCUAUCGAUAGAUAGCAGGUUGCUUCCAAGCUCAACCCAUUUGAAACUGAAUUGCUACUUUAUUCUUGUUAUUGAUAGAGUGGUAUUCUCCGCCCCUGUCAAAUAAAGUAGAGGGAGAGAACUGGAAGAGACCCGGAAAAAGAGCAAAGGAUUUACAAGUCUAAUGGGAGAAGAAUGGCUGACACGUUGACUGCCUUCGAGACUCUAAAAUAUAACCUAAGCGGUCUAACCUCCGAGGCGGACCCCAACCGAAAGGCGCUAGACGGACUAACGGCAAGCGAGAUAAAGAAAGCAGCUGGCCCUAUGUGUAAAACCUUGCCGCGAGAGAGUCUUUCUCCAAUGAGAAUCCAAAAAGUUUUUGGGCAAGACAAGAAAGGAACUCGCCCUUUGACACCAAGGGAUAAGAGCUGAUUGCUGGCGAUGACUUGGUGAAGGGAAUCUAUGAGAGAAGGUUCUCGAACCGGGUUCCGACCGAAUAGAGCGCGGAGCCAACGAGUUCAGUCGAACAGCGUAAUGAGUCUAAGGGCGGGAUCAAGCUUAAAAGGAAUGGACGGGCGUAGGCUUAAUAGUGAACGCGGACCCUUAUAUAUAGAUAUGAGAUCAAUGACUUAAAAGAAAAUCAAGACAGAUGCCGAGAGAAACUGUUAGACUUCUUUAUUGCGUUGCGAAGAGAGAUCGAAGACGCAGAUUUUCUGACGCAGUGCAGGCACUGGAUGAAAAAGACAGAAAAGAGAACAACCCACCGGAAGGGCAUACCUCAAGGAGCACCAAUCCCCCCCGGCAAACAUCUAUCUGCACGAAGCCGACCUAUAGAGAAAAAGAAAAAUGCAAAAAAGGUCAAUAUAAAAAAGAUGCUUUGGGAGUGUGAGAUACGCGGACGGGGAGUACGCAGCCGAACAACCGCAGGGGCUUCCAGCAGUGAUAGCUGAACUAACCAGAUGGGCCGCCCAAAACCUGGAGCAACCAUUGAAAUCGGAAAUCAACGUCGGAUCCCGGCUAUCCGAAAAAGGCAGAAGACUGAAGCGGAGGAUCACGAAAUGCAACACAACAAGGGCAAACCAAGCUUCGAAGGAAGAAGCGAAUCAAUCAGAAUGGAGACAGGGAGGAGAGGCGAAAGAAAGAUUUUCGAGCCUGCCUGCAAGCAGCAAGCAACAACGGCUUUUCAGCCGCAUCGCACUGCCGCAAUGGAUCCGCUGGGCUGGAUGAGCAACCUUCUCUGGAAAAGAAUAGUGAAAAGCCAUGUCACUUGGAACGGAACUGGUUGCUUACUUACUUUUAGUAAGACCACGAAGGUAAGCAAAACUCUAUUAUAUAGGCAUGGUUGCUUACAAGACAAAAGCUAGCUUCUAGAUGUUCUUUGCCUGAACAUAUAGAGGAAGCAACCUUCUAUCUGGCCUCUGUACUAGUAGUGGAGUGGCUUGCCACUUUCAAUCAGAAAAGGGUCGACGAAGUUGAGAAGGCAAGGUUCGACGAAGUUGAGUAUGCAAGCAACCUCUUCUCUGGUAACCCGCCGCCGGUCAUAUAGAGCGCUCCGCCCGCCACCGCAUAUGUAGAAAAAGAGGGAGCGGGGAAGGUCGCUUGCGCGCUUUAUUUUACAAGGAAGAACAACCGUUUGACUUUGGCACAUGAGGUGGCGGGUUUGGCUAGGUAACAUAAUGGAAAUGUAUCGGACUGCAAAUCCUGGAAUGACGGUUCGACCCCGUCCUUGGCCUCGGGGAGUGGCAAGCAGCGCGGAACUUUAAUUAAUCAAAUGGCAUAAGGGGGCUUUCCUUUGUUAGAAAUCCACAGACAACAUACUGGAACUUCCAAACCAAAGAAAUGCAACAUGAGAAGAGAAGGGGCUUUUUACGUUACGCUUCAAUAGAAUGAAUUCAGUAAGGUUAGAAUACGCCCCAUGGUUGAUCGAAGGUCCUAUGCCAUUUAAACUAAAAUCUAUCUUACCUUCAAUUUCAAUCCAUCUUUGUUCAGCCAGCUCAUAACAAAAUGUUAGACCAAUCUCAGGGCUGACACAACUGAAUUGGUUGAGGAAAAGGAAACCCCAGCGACCAAGCACUCCCGCCCCCAAAAGCGGAGACCGAACACCGCCAGGUUGUCGAGGACACGUCUGAAGAGGAGGCGGGCGCCCUCUAAGUUUACCACCCUACCCACUAAUGGACUAUGAGGGGGGCAGGCGAAUGGGAACCGCCCGAAUCACUGUAGCAAACCCUCCCUUUACUCAAUGGAUAGCGCUUAUCCUCUUUCAAUCAACAAAAUGGGGAAAAGAAAGAGGUCUUUAUUGAAGAGGCUUUGCACCUGAAAUAGGACUAAUGAAAAUCCAGAAGAAUGGGUCUGGGCUUUCGAAAAGAUGAAGAUGCAAAGGGUAAAGAGAAAGAAAGUCCUUUGAACAACCAACCUGACAUAAGGAUUCUAGUUCGCCCACUUAGAGCAGAUGGAGAUUCUCGGACGGGGAAAAGCGGCACUCGACAUCUAUUAAACAACACCAAGAACAAAGCCAUACCAUGCCCUCGGAGAAACUAGUGAUGAUUGCCAUGAAUGCUGCCCUCGAGGACGUGUACAAGAAGGUCUUUGCCGAUUCCUAUCAACAUGGUGCACCUCUCAGUAGAGGGGCGCGAAAACGCCGUGGAGACUUUGACCGAAUGAAUAGGGAUCAAUUGAUAGACAUUUUCUUGAGGAAGAGAAACCAGGAUGAACGCUUUUUUUCGUUCGCUAUGUGCUGACUGGAUGCCUACUCGCGUGAUCGAUCGAUGGACGGGGGAAUUGCGUGAAUGACGAGACCGGCCUAACCUAAAGUAAAGGCUAUUCCCUCUCUUGAUGGCGAAUCUUGAUUGACUGACACUAGGAACCGAUUCGGAGAAAGAAGAAGCAUGGCAUGAGAUAGGCGGCGGAAAAAUUGCCGAUAGCGAAUUACUUGACUCGAUGGAUGGAAGCAAAGCAACCCACUCAAGCACGAAAUCAAUGUUGAGUCAACAAUCAUCGAGAGGGGCACCACCAAGCAGCGAGAUCGAGACCAGCACCUUGUAUAGGGUUCCAAACCUGCGCUUCUUCAAAUAUCCCAUAAAUCAAGAUCAAGGUAGGGGCUUCAAAGCUUGACUAACAAGCGAGAAACUUUACUUUAAGAAAGAAGGGGGGCGCGCUAGCUUUCUAAAGUGCUAACGCCUAUAGUAAGGUAAUAUGUAAUAUUCUUGCUCGUUAGCGCUUUAGUUUGAGGCGCUAGCUUACUAAUAAUAUAGGGCUUUUUCAGCUUGAUCGGAAUCGAUUCUAUGAUUGAAUAGCAGAAGUGCUACUUAUACUUAGUAGUAG
rnacentral:lncRNA from 1 species